UACGUAGGGUGCAAGCGUUAAUCGGAAUUACUGGGCGUAAAGCGUGCGCAGGCGGUUUUGUAAGUCUGACGUGAAAGCCCCGGGCUCAACCUGGGAAUUGCGUUGGAGACUGCAAGGCUAGAAUCUGGCAGAGGGGGGUAGAAUUCCACGUGUAGCAGUGAAAUGCGUAGAGAUGUGGAGGAACACCGAUGGCGAAGGCAGCCCC
rnacentral:rRNA from 1 species